UAGAGAGGAAGGUGUACCAGGGUUUGGGGUUUUUUUUUUUCCUCCUGAGACCCUAGUUCCACAUUCUGGAGC
rnacentral:miRNA from 1 species